AGGAGUUCCUCUACAAUAGGGAGAACUUGUUUACAGUUCUUUUAUGCUGGGAAUCCAUCAAUUUCUGGUCUGUCUAAUCUUGAAUAUGCCAUGGACUGCCAAAAGAAUGAACAAACAUGUCUUGGAAGAAGUACAACCAGAAUGCUCCUUAGAAGCAAGGAUGGAAAGACUACAUCUCACAUAAUUGGGACAUGGUAUCAGGAGGGAUCAGUCUCUGGAGAAUGACAUCAUGCUUGGCAAAACGGUGUCCUUUUUCACACUAAGACGCAAGGACUGAUAAUUACCAUUUCUCUACUGGAAGCUUAUUUUAGCAGAAGAUAAAUGCCUGAACUGAAACUGGGAGAUCUGGAGAGAAUUCCAGACAACAAACAUCUGGGAAGAGGACAUCUUUAGUGGAACAUCACCUUGUGCUUCAACCUAUGACCAAACUACCAAUCCAGGUCCCCAAGUUAAAAUGAGAUAUUAAGCAUUUGAGAAGAUGUAAUUUUUUUAAUGCUCUACUAUAAGGGAAACCCUGGUGGCAUAGUGGCUAAGUGCUGUGGCUGCUAACCAAAAGGUCAGCGGUUCGAGUCUGUCAGGUGCUCCUUGGAAACACUAUGGGGCAGUUCUACUCUGCCCUAUAGGGUCGCUAAGAGUCGGAAUCGACUCGAUGGCAGCGGAUUUGGGUUUUUUUUUUUUUAUAUCUAUAAGAGAAAAACAAAUCAAAUCCAUGAUGAUAUAAAAUUAUUUACCUGUUGGUUUGGAAAAGGUGAGGUGACAGUAUAGCAAAGCAAGCACUAUCCCACAUAGUUGGUGGGAGAAUAAAUUGGUAUAACUUUUCUAGUGAUCAAAUUGGCAAUAGCUCCUAAAAUUGAAAACGCACGUCUCCUUUGACUCAUCAGUUCCAUGCCUGAGAAUUUAUCCUAUAGGGAUGCUCCCAAUUGAGUAAGUUCACAUGUUAACAAGAAUCUGUAUUGCAGCAUUGUUUGUAAUAGCAAAAGGAAUGGAAAUUAUCUAUUCUUCUUGAUUAAUGAAUAAUGGUACCUCUACACAAAGAAGGUGCCCUGAUGGCACAAUGGUUAAGGGCUCAGCUGCUCACUGAAAGGUCGGUAGUUUGAAGCCACCCUGUGUCUCCACAGGAGAAAAGACCUGGUGAUCUGCUCCCAUAAAUAUUACAGCCUAGGAAACCCUAUCAGACAGUUCUACUCUGACAUAUAGGGUCACUUUGAGUCGUAAUCAAUUUGACAACACCCAACAACAAUAAAAAACCAAACCAAACCCAGUGCCGUUGAGUCGAUUCUGACUCACAGCGAUCCUGUAACAAUACACAAUGAAAUACUAUACAGCUGUUAAAAAAGUAAAGACCUCUAUAUGUACUGAUUUGGAUAAACUUAUAUAUGAUGUGGCUGUCAGGAAAUGCUAUGUGUGACAUCAAAAUUCACGUAGUAGAUAACUCAAAGCAUCAGAUUGUCAAAAUGAAACUCACUGAACGAGGGAUUUAUCUGAGACAGAGCCCCCACAGUGCUGUAUUAAAAGUCCUGUUUGCUUGGCUUCCUCCCCUACAGUAUUGUAUUAAAAAUUCUGUUUCCUUUGCUGGGCUUCCUCCCACCCAGCUUUGCAUUUGAAUCCUACUUUUGUUCAGAGGUUAUAUGUAAACCCCAUUGCGUCUCCGUAGUAUGAUUAAGAGUUUUGCUGAUGUAAGUUGUAUGAACUCCCUACUUGUAACCCCCUUAAAAGUAACAUGCCUGCCUGCCCUAGGGGAGCAGUCUUGGCAGCAGCAGCUCUGACUGACUCCUUUUCCUUGUACAACGAAAUUAAGGUGCCUUUCCUGCUCUUUCACCUAGGUUUCCUGUUUAUUGGCCAAUAUGAGUCAUGCCGAGCAAAAACCUAGGGAUUCUACCCUGUAACAUACCCAGUAUCAAACUUUACUAAUAGUUUCAAGGAUACAAAUAAUCAUAAGACACAGGCAAAGUAGGAAGAGGCCUGCAACCAUCAACAUAGCCCUGGCCAAGAUUAACACGUGAGAUUUCCAAGCAACGUGUGCAGGUAACCUUGCUUACACAAAAGAGACUUUUUAGUCAUGAAACGUGUCUAUUUUGUACUCAUAUAAUUGCAUAAUUUACAUGACAUUUUCCAAGAAGCUAUUCCAUAUAAAUUUACAGAUUCCAUGUUUGUUUACCAUAAGCAAUCCUAAAAAACUGGAUACAUUCCAUAAGUAAUGACUCUUCAGCUAUUACAUACCAUUAGCUUCUUUGCCAGGAGGUAUAUUCAUUAGGAAGGUCCCUGGGUAGUGCAAAGGGUUUGGGCCUGACUACUAACUUGAAGAUUGGUGGUUCAAACGCACCCAGCAACACUAUGAAAGAAAGGCCUAGCAGUCUGCUUCUGUAAAGGUUAUAGCCUAGAAAACCCUAUGGAGCAGCUCUACUCUGUACUACAUGGGGUCAUCAUGAGUCAGAAUUGACUCAAUGACUUUUUUUUUUUUUUCAUUAGCAUGUUCACAAGAAGAUUAGACCAAAUCACCUGACUUUCUUCCAUCUCAGAAUGAGUCGCAGACUGGCGAAACAAUAAUGCUUUUAUUUUCAUAUAUCAUUUUAAAUAUGAGUAAAAACUGAUUAAUUCUAAGAAUUUGAAAAUGAUGCAGGCUUCCAUUAGAUUACAGGUUCUUUAAAAUUCAACAAAAAAGGCACAUGUUUUA